rnacentral:rRNA from 1 species
CGGACGGGUGAGUAAUGUCUGGGAAACUGCCUGAUGGAGGGGGGUAACUACUGGAAACGGUAGCUAAUACCGCAUAACGUCGCAAGACCAAAGAGGGGGACCUUAGGGCCUCUUGCCAUCGGAUGUGCCCAGAUGGGAUUAGCUGUGGUGGGGUAACGGCUCACCAGGCGACGAUCCCUAGCUGGUCUGAGAGGAUGACCAGCCACACUGGAACUGAGACACGGUCCAG